GAUGAAGAACGCAGCGAAAUGCGAUAAGUAAUGUGAAUUGCAGAAUUCAGUGAAUCAUCGAGUCUUUGAACGCACAUUGCGCCCCCUGGUAUUCCGGGGGGCAUGCCUGUCCGAGCGUCAUUGCUGCCCUCAAGCACGGCUUGUGUGUUGGGCCGUCGUCCCCCUCCUAGGGGACGGGCCCGAAAGGCAGCGGCGGCACCGCGUCCGGUCCUCGAGCGUAUGGGGCUUCGUCACCCGCUCCUUAGGCCCGGCCGGCGCUUGCCGACGACCAUCAAUCUCUUUCUCCAGGUUGACCUCGGAUCAGGUAGGGAUACCCGCUGAACUUAAGCAUAUCAAUAAGCGGAGGA
rnacentral:misc_RNA from 1 species